ACCUGGGUGGCUCAGUCGGUUAAGCAUCCGACUUCGGCUCGGGUCAUGAUCUCACAGUUUGUGGGUUCGAGCCCCACAUCGGGCU
rnacentral:tRNA from 1 species